rnacentral:rRNA from 1 species
UACGUAGGGUGCGAGCGUUAAUCGGAAUUACUGGGCGUAAAGCGUGCGCAGGCGGUUUUGUAAGUCAGAUGUGAAAUCCCCGAGCUCAACUUGGGAACUGCGUUUGAAACUACAAGACUAGAAUAUGUCAGAGGGGGGUAGAAUUCCACGUGUAGCAGUGAAAUGCGUAGAGAUGUGGAGGAAUACCAAUGGCGAAGGCAGCCCCCUGGGAUAAUAUUGACGCUCAUGCACGAAAGCGUGGGGAGCAAGCAGG